rnacentral:rRNA from 1 species
UACGGAGGGAGCUAGCGUUAUUCGGAAUUACUGGGCGUAAAGCGCACGUAGGCGGCUUUGUAAGUAAGAGGUGAAAGCCCAGAGCUCAACUCUGGAAUUGCCUUUUAGACUGCAUCGCUUGAAUCAUGGAGAGGUCAGUGGAAUUCCGAGUGUAGAGGUGAAAUUCGUAGAUAUUCGGAAGAACACCAGUGGCGAAGGCGGCUGACUGGACAUGUAUUGACGCUGAGGUGCGAAAGCGUGGGGAGCAAACAGGAUUGAGAUACCCG